GAUCCUGGCUCAGGAUGAACGCUAGCUACAGGCUUAACACAUGCAAGUCGAGGGGGCAGCAUGACGAUAGCUUGCUAUUGUUGAUGGCGACCGGCGCACGGGUGAGUAACGCGUAUCCAACCUUCCCGUUGCUAGGGGAUAACCUUGCGAAAGUAAGACUAAUACCCUAUGAAGUUCUUCGCAGGCAUCUAAAGAGAACGAAAGAUUUAUCGGCAACGGAUGGGGAUGCGUCUGAUUAGCUUGUUGGCGGGGUAACGGCCCACCAAGGCGACGAUCAGUAGGGGUUCUGAGAGGAAGGUCCCCCACAUUGGAACUGAGACACGGUCCAAACUCCUACGGGAGGCAGCAGUGAGGAAUAUUGGUCAAUGGACGGGAGUCUGAACCAGCCAAGUAGCGUGCAGGAUGACGGCCCUAUGGGUUGUAAACUGCUUUUAUAAGGGAAUAAAGUGGGUCACGUGUGACUUUUUGCAUGUACCUUAUGAAUAAGGACCGGCUAAUUCCGUG
rnacentral:rRNA from 1 species